CGUAAUUUGGGAACUCUGAGGUUGACAAGCAAUGAGCUGAAUCAUGCCUACUUUAGUUAUCUGAGUUCAGUUCUUAAUUCCACAAUCUUCAGUUUGAAAGAACUGGACCUAAGUUUUAACCUGGACAAUUCAGCAGUGAAACAGCUGUCUGGUCUACAUGAGAAUCCACAGUGUGCUCUGGAGACUCUGAGGCUGGAAUAAGGUGUCACCCUUACAAGGU